rnacentral:RNase_P_RNA from 1 species
UGCUGACGGCGGACGGCCGCUUGGUGCAUUGCACUGAGAGGAAAGUCCGGACUCCGCAGAGCAGGAAGUCCAGUGGUUAACGCUGGAUAUUAUGGUCUCAAAGCCAUAAUCAGGAAAGUGCCACAGAAAUAUACCGCCCAACUGCUGACUUAUCAUUAGUUCUAAUUUGAACUGUUAAUAAGUCAGCAGUUGGGUAAGGGUGAAAUGGUGGGGUAAGAGCCCACCGGGAAAAUGAGAGAUCCUUUUCCGUCCAGGUAAACCCCUUCCGGAGCAAGACCAAAUAUGGAAUACAGAAGCUGCUCGCUUCGCGUCGAAAGACAGUAUUUCGGGUAGGUCGCAUAGAUGAAUGGUCGUCACUUUCUUCGGGAAGUACAGGAUCCGGCUUAUAGCCGUCAGCAUAUU